ACAUUUUUUAGGAAACUAUACUUUAGUAAACCUAACACAAAGACAACACCAAGCACUAAAUAUAUACAACUGCAAAGCACGAUAUGAUGAGACUUGUCUCUUGCCACCAGAAACAAUAAAUAAGGGCACUUUCAUUCACAGAAACAUAAUGCCAUCAAUCUGUCACAGUCGUUAUUCUCGCCUAGCACAACAAUAUCCGUACAAAUGGUCAUGGC
rnacentral:lncRNA from 1 species